GGAAAGGCCCUGCUUGCAGGGUACUCGAGUGGCGAACGGGUGAGUAACACGUGGGUGAUCUGCCCUGCACUUCGGGAUAAGCUUGGGAAACUGGGUCUAAUACCGGAUAGGAGCCAUCUUUAGUGUGGUGGUUGGAAAGUUUUUUCGGUGUAGGAUGAGCUCGCGGCCUAUCAGCUUGUUGGUGGGGUAAUGGCCUACCAAGGCGGCGACGGGUAGCCGGCCUGAGAGGGUGUACGGCCACAUUGGGACUGAGAUACGGCCCAGACUCCUACGGGAGGCAGCAGUGGGGAAUAUUGCACAAUGGGCGCAAGCCUGAUGCAGCGACGCCGCGUGGGGGAUGAAGGCCUUCGGGUUGUAAACUCCUUUCGCUAGGGACGAAGCUUUGUUGUGACGGUACCUAGAUAAGAAGCACCGGCUAACUACGUGCCAGCAGCCGCGGUAAUACGUAGGGUGCGAGCGUUGUCCGGAAUUACUGGGCGUAAAGGGCUCGUAGGUGGUUUGUCGCGUCGUCUGUGAAAUUCUGGGGCUUAACUCCGGGCGUGCAGGCGAUACGGGCAUAACUUGAGUGCUGUAGGGGUAACUGGAAUUCCUGGUGUAGCGGUGAAAUGCGCAGAUAUCAGGAGGAACACCGAUGGCGAAGGCAGGU
rnacentral:rRNA from 1 species